AUUGAACGCUGGCGGCAGGCCUAACACAUGCAAGUCGAACGGCAGCGGGGGGUAGCUUGCUACCCCGCCGGCGAGUGGCGGACGGGUGAGUAAUGCCUGGGGAGCUGCCCAAUCGAGGGGGAUACCAGUUGGAAACGACUGCUAAUACCGCAUACGCCCUGAGGGGGAAAGGUGGGGAUCUUCGGACCUAUCGCGAUUGGAUGCACCCAGGUGGGAUUAGCUAGUUGGUGAGGUAACGGCUCACCAAGGCGACGAUCUCUAGCUGGUCUGAGAGGAUGACCAGCCACACUGGAACUGAGACACGGUCCAGACUCCGACGGGAGGCAGCAGUGGGGAAUAUUGCACAAUGGGGGAAACCCUGAUGCAGCCAUGCCGCGUGUGUGAAGAAGGCCUUCGGGUUGUAAAGCACUUUCAGCGAGGAGGAAAGGGUGGAAGCUAAUACCUUUCAUCUGUGACGUUACUCGCAGAAGAAGCACCGGCUAACUCCGUGCCAGCAGCCGCAGUAA
rnacentral:rRNA from 1 species